GCAGCACACUCUGGGCGCUGGGGACCCAGGAUCCUCACUCAGCUCUCAACCAGCGGCCCUGAGAGGCAGGGCACUUGGUGGUUGCCCCAGCCUGGAAGAGGUGACACAGGCGUCCUCUGACCCUAGCCUGGGGCAAAGAAAACCAAGGGUUUCAGCCCCAGACGGGCAGAGUCACCCCAAAUUCCACAACUGCGACGAUCAAGAAGGAAAGCCUUCUAAGAAUCCAAGACAUCUGGCAUCCCAGCCCUGGGCCGUGUGCCCUAGUGAAGGAACCUCCUACAGCUCCGGGUACAGGUCCCAGGCUCCAGCCUCACUGACUUUCCUGCAGUUCCCCUGCCACAGCACCUUCUUCUUUGUUCUUAAAACUAUUUUCCAUAUUCCUCAAGCCAGUUUAUCUCCACAAUCACUUCCUCCAGGACAUCUUUCUUUACCUCCCUGUUAUGGACAAUGGACACUGCUCCUGAGUGCUCCUCAAGA